rnacentral:rRNA from 1 species
UACGAAGGGGGCUAGCGUUGCUCGGAAUUACUGGGCGUAAAGGGCGCGUAGGCGGUGGACACAGUCAGGCGUGAAAUUCCUGGGCUCAACCUGGGGGCUGCGUUUGAUACGUGUUUGCUAGAGUGGGGAAGAGGGUCGUGGAAUUCCCAGUGUAGAGGUGAAAUUCGUAGAUAUUGGGAAGAACACCGGUGGCGAAGGCGGCGACCUGGUCCUUGACUGACGCUGAGGCGCGAAAGCGUGGGGAGCAAACAGG